rnacentral:lncRNA from 1 species
AGAUUUGCCAGAGUGAAGUUAGUUAUUGAAAGUAGAAAUAUAUAUAUGUAUAUAAAUAAAAAAUUAUAAUAGAUGUUUUAGAGAAAAACAACAGAAAUAAAAACAUGCUCCCGCAUGUGACGUAACAAGAAUCUGUCUCGAUACAACAAUAUUAUCUAAUAUAAAAGCAUUUCUGGCCGUCAGCCAGGAAUGAUAGAAACACGAUCUAAUAACUUCUGCAGAUAAGCCCAUAUGAAAUUCUAUAAUUGUAGAUUCUUUAGGAUAAACUCAAAAGCAAAUUCACUUUAUUUCACAAAAAAUCCUCAGUUGAAAAUACAACAUGACAAAAACUAAAGAAAUAAUAGAAUGCUAAACCCUAUUUAACAGGCUCAAACAAAUCAAUCACAUGUUGAUGCAUUUUUGAAACAACAGUUUUUUUUUUUUUUUUUUUUUUUAGUUAUCAACUUUUCAAUUCUGCAGCAUAAAGAAAACACGGGAGUCAAAUUUUCCUUUCAGAUCUUCACGACAAAGAUGUUUUGGCUUUCAUUUUAUAUGAGACAGAGAAAGAGAUCCAUUUAGAAACAUAAUGAAUAUUGUAACUACUAAAAUUCCAACUUCAUAUCUCCUUUCUCAAGGAAGCAGCCUUGUCCCCUAGAGAUCUCAGCCAAACCAACUUCUCUGGCUUAUUAAUUAUAUCAAAGUUUCCUGCCUUUUCCCCCUUAGUGUUCCCUCCUUUUCCAACAAGGAGUAAUCAAACGUCAUAAAAAUUCCAUAGAAAAUGGAAUUCUUCAGUUUUGAGUAACUUCCAGGCUAACUAGUCAUUAGAAAGCUAACUUAGAAGAGAUUUACUGACGAAUUACAGAUGAUGAAUAAACCCAAAACUCCAGGACCCUGAGCUAUGAAAAGGUAGUUCUGUAACUCGGUAAAAGCAAAUUGAAGUUUUUCCACUCUUGUAAACGUCCUCUUAUAUCAACUUUCCUCAUUUCUACCAAUCAAUCAAGCAACUGCAAUUUCCAUGGCUCGAGAAAUUAGACGACCAAAUUUCAAGACCUAGCUCAAAUUAGCUAAAACGAAACUAAAGCUAUCCCCACUCCGACCCUCAUUCUUUUCCAUCAUUUCCUCGGCAAUCAAUCAAGCAACUUCAAUUUUUUUGGCUCAAGAACUCAUACAAAACAGCAACGAAACAUAA